GGUCUCCUGGUGCUUUCCACAGACUGUGUUCUUACACUGAUUGUAUAGAAAGAGGAGGCAGAAUAAACCUACCCCAUAUACAGUUCAGCCCAGGACCUGUGCCUGGUUUGUAUUGUGAAUGGGGAAAUACAG
ensembl:snoRNA